rnacentral:rRNA from 21 species
GAAUGACUCUCGGCAACGGAUAUCUCGGCUCUUGCAUCGAUGAAGAACGUAGCGAAAUGCGAUACUUGGUGUGAAUUGCAGAAUCCCGUGAACCAUCGAGUCUUUGAACGCAAGUUGCGCCCGAAGCCAUUAGGCCGAGGGCACGCCUGCCUGGGUGUCACAC